AGAGUUUGAUCCUGGCUCAGGAUGAACGCUAGCGGCAGGCUUAACACAUGCAAGUCGAGGGGCAGCAUAAUGGAUAGCAAUAUCUAUGGUGGCGACCGGCGCACGGGUGCGUAACGCGUAUGCAACCUACCUUUAACAGGGGGAUAACACUGAGAAAUUGGUACUAAUACCCCAUAAUAUCAUAGAAGGCAUCUUUUAUGGUUGAAAAUUCCGAUGGUUAGAGAUGGGCAUGCGUUGUAUUAGCUAGUUGGUGGGGUAACGGCUCACCAAGGCGACGAUACAUAGGGGGACUGAGAGGUUAACCCCCCACACUGGUACUGAGACACGGACCAGACUCCUACGGGAGGCAGCAGUGAGGAAUAUUGGUCAAUGGACGCAAGUCUGAACCAGCCAUGCCGCGUGCAGGAUGACGGCUCUAUGAGUUGUAAACUGCUUUUGUACGAGGGUAAACGCAGAUACGUGUAUCUGUCUGAAAGUAUCGUACGAAUAAGGAUCGGCUAACUCCGUGCCAGCAGCCGCGGUAAUACGGAGGAUUCAAGCGUUAUCCGGAUUUAUUGGGUUUAAAGGGUGCGUAGGCGGUUUGAUAAGUUAGAGGUGAAAUCCCGGGGCUUAACUCCGGAACUGCCUCUAAUACUGUUAGACUAGAGAGUAGUUGCGGUAGGCGGAAUGUAUGGUGUAGCGGUGAAAUGCUUAGAGAUCAUACAGAACACCGAUUGCGAAGGCAGCUUACCAAACUAUAUCUGACGUUGAGGCACGAAAGCGUGGGGAGCAAACAGGAUUAGAUACCCUGGUAGUCCACGCAGUAAACGAUGAUAACUCGUUGUCGGCGAUACACAGUCGGUGACUAAGCGAAAGCGAUAAGUUAUCCACCUGGGGAGUACGUUCGCAAGAAUGAAACUCAAAGGAAUUGACG
rnacentral:rRNA from 1 species